GCCAGCCUCACCGGGCGGCCGGGCCCGGCAAGGAGAGGAGGAGCGACCGGAGGAUCGGGAUGAGGCCGCGCAGGACCAGCGCGCCGUGGACUCGCCCGGCUCGCCUGCCGGUGGCGGCUCCGCCCUGGGCAGUGACGGUGGCGCGUCCCUGUCGCCCAUCAACGUCGACAUCCAGGUGCACUGCCUCAUCUGCAGCACCCGUGUCAACCCGCAGGCCGACCAGUACUGCGACAUUUACCUGGACAACAUCGUCACCGCCCACUCGCGGCUGCCUGUCUCCGAGAAGUUGGGGCGUGUGCUCAGGUACCACUUCUCCCCGGAGCUGCUCUACAGUCACACACUGUGCAGGCGAUGCUUCAACAUCAUCAACGGCAUCGACCAGCUGGAGGGCCGGCUGGAAAAGCUCAGGUCGGAGGUGCGCCAUAAGUUCAGCGUCACCUGCCAGGAGCGCGGCCUGGACGAUGACCACUUCCCGCCGCGGCUGGAGGCGGAGGCAGCACCGCCGCCGCCAGUCGGCUGC
rnacentral:lncRNA from 1 species